rnacentral:rRNA from 1 species
UACGUAGGGCGCGAGCGUUGUCCGGAAUCAUUGGGCGUAAAGAGCUCGUAGGCGCCUGCCGCGUCUGCUGUGAAAUCCCGGGGCUUAACCCCGGGCGUGCAGUGGAUACGGGCUGGCUGGAGGCAGGCAGGGGAGAACGGAAUUCCCGGUGUAGCGGUGAAAUGCGCAGAUAUCGGGAGGAACACCGGUGGCGAAGGCGGUUCUCUGGGCCUGUACUGACGCUGAGGAGCGAAAGCGUGGGGAGCGAACAGG